CAGCUCUUCUAUGUGCAUACACUGGACAAGCUGCUUUCCUUAGGAAGCACAAUGAUCUUGUCUCCGAAACCUUUUACAAGUCUAUACCAGACCCUCUCUACUGGCCCAUGUUUGCGGUGGCUGUGAUGGCUUCAAUCAUUGCAAGUCAAGCCAUGAUUUCUGGGACCUUUUCUAUCAUCCAGCAAUCGCUCUCACUCGGAUGCUUCCCUCGUGUGAAAAUUGUGCACACAUCGACCAAAUAUGAAGGAAGCAUCCGAGUGAGAGCGAUUGCUGG
rnacentral:misc_RNA from 1 species